rnacentral:rRNA from 1 species
GAGUUUGAUUAUGGCUCAGGACGAACGCUGGCGGCGUGCGUAACACAUGCAAGUUGAACGACGGUGUCAUGAAGUGGUAACACGGAAUGGCAUACGGAGUAGCGGACGGGUGAGUACAACAUGAGAAGCUGUCCAAUAGUGGGGGAUAACGUUCGGAAACGGACCCUAAUACCCCAUAGGCCUUUUGGUUAAAGCAGCGAUGCGCUAUUGGAGGUGCUCGUGUCCUAUCAGCUGGUUGGUGAGGUAACGGCUCACCAAGGCGACGACGGGUAGCCGGCCUGAGAGGGUGUCCGGCCACACUGGAACUGAGAUACAGUCCAGACUCCUACGGGAGGCAGCAGUGGGGAAUAUUGGGCAAUGGGAGAAAUCCUGACCCAGCGACGCCGCGUGAACGAAGAAGGCCUUCGGGUCGUAAAGUUCUUUUAUGUGGGAAGAAGGAAGUGA